AGAGAGAGGGAGGGUGUGACUAGUGACAGAGUGAGGGAGGGAUGGGGUGACUAGUGAGAGUGAGGGAGGUGGUGAUUAGUGACAGAGGGAAGAAUGGGGUGACUAUCACUGUGUCACCCCCUUCCUCACUCUGUCACUAGUCACCCUCUCCCUCCCUCACU